UUGGGUCACGAAAGGUAAUUCGACGAGUAACAAAUGUGAGUCGAAGAAAUGAAGUCUACAGAGUGACUGUGAGGGAACCACUAGGUGUAAAUGUUACUGUCAAACCACAAGUUUUCUGGGUAAGAGGUAAUGCUUCAAGGCAUUUUAGGAUUUUGUUAAAAGCAAGGAAGGCAAUGAGAACUUACACAUUUGGAGAGAUAAUAUUGUAUGGAAGUAGAAAUCAUGUUGUUAGAGUUCCGAUUGCUGUUUAUGUUAGCACCACUUUAUAGUAUUGAAUUCCUUAUAUUUACAAGCCU
rnacentral:lncRNA from 1 species